UGGGGAAUAUUGCGCAAUGGGCGAAAGCCUGACGCAGCGACGCCGCGUGGAGGAUGAAGGUCUUCGGAUUGUAAACUUCUGUUAAGUGGGAAGAAAUGCUUGUCCUUAAUACGGGCAAGAGAUGACUGUACCAUUAGAGAAAGCACCGGCUAAACUCGUGCCAGCAGCCGCGGUAAUACGAGUGGUGCAAGCGUUAUUCGGAAUCAUUGGGCGUAAAGGGUGUGUAGACGGCAGAUUAAGUCAACUGUUUAAUUCUCCGGCCUAACCGGAGGCCAGCGGUAGAAACUGAUCUGCUAGAGGGUGGAAGAGAGAAGUGGAAUUCUCGGAGUAGCGGUAAAAUGCGUAGAUCUCGAGAGGAACACCAAUGGCGAAGGCAGCUUCUUGGUCCACACCUGACGUUGAGACACGAAAGCGUGGGGAGCAAACAGG
rnacentral:rRNA from 1 species